UGAUGCAAGGUUAAGCAGUGAAUGUGGAGCCGUAGCGAAAGCGAGUCUGAAUAGGGCGUUGAGUAUUUGGUCGUAGACCCGAAACCAGGUGAUCUACCCUUGACCAGGUUGAAGUUCAGGUAACACUGAAUGGAGGACCGAACCGACUUACGUUGAAAAGUGAGCGGAUGAGUUGAGGGUAGCGGAGAAAUUCCAAUCGAACCUGGAGAUAGCUGGUUCUCUCCGAAAUAGCUUUAGGGCUAGCCUCAAGUGAUGAUUAUUGGAGGUAGAGCACUGUUUGGACGAGGGGCCCUUAUCGGGUUACCGAAUUCAGACAAACUCCGAAUGCCAAUCAAUUUAACUUGGGAGUCAGAACGCGGGUGAUAAGGUCCGUGUUCGAAAGGGAAACAGCCCAGACCACCAGCUAAGGUCCCAAAAUAUAUGUUAAGUGGAAAAGGAUGUGGCGUUGCCCAGACAACUAGUAUGUUGGCUUAGAAGCAGCCAUCAUUUAAAGAGUGCGUAAUAGCUCACUAGUCGAGUGACACUGCGCCGAAAAUGUACCGGGGCUAAACAUAUUACCGAAGCUGUGGAUUGUCCGUAGGACAAUGGUAGGAGAGCGUUCUAAGGGCGUUGAAGCAUGAUCGUAAGGACAUGUGGAGCGC
rnacentral:rRNA from 1 species